rnacentral:rRNA from 1 species
UAAUGGGUGAUGGCGUGCCUUUUGUAGAAUGAACCGGCGAGUUACGAUUUGAUGCAAGGUUAAGCAGUAAAUGUGGAGCCGUAGCGAAAGCGAGUCUGAAUAGGGCGUUUAGUAUUUGGUCGUAGACCCGAAACCAGGUGAUCUACCCUUGGUCAGGUUGAAGUUCAGGUAACACUGAAUGGAGGACCGAACCGACUUACGUUGAAAAGUGAGCGGAUGAACUGAGGGUAGCGGAGAAAUUCCAAUCGAACCUGGAGAUAGCUGGUUCUCUCCGAAAUAGCUUUAGGGCUAGCCUCAAGUGAUGAUUAUUGGAGGUAGAGCACUGUUUGGACGAGGGGCCCCUCUCGGGUUACCGAAUUCAGACAAACUCCGAAUGCCAAUUAAUUUAACUUGGGAGUCAGAACAUGGGUGAUAAGGUCCGUGUUCGAAAGGGAAACAGCCCAGACCACCAGCUAAGGUCCCAAAAUAUAUGUUAAGUGGAAAAGGAUGUGGCGUUGCCCAGACAACUAGGAUGUUGGCUUAGAAGCAGCCAUCAUUUAAAGAGUGCGUAAUAGCUCACUAGUCGAGUGACACUGCGCCGAAAAUGUACCGGGGCUAAACAUAUUACCGAAGCU